rnacentral:rRNA from 1 species
GUAACGCGUAUGCAAUCUACCUUUCACAGAGGGAUAGCCCAGAGAAAUUUGGAUUAAUACCUCAUAGUAUAUUGGUCUCGCAUGAGAUCAUUAUUAAAGAUUUAUCGGUGAAAGAUGAGCAUGCGUCCCAUUAGUUAGUUGGUAAGGUAACGGCUUACCAAGACUACGAUGGGUAGGGGUCCUGAGAGGGAGAUCCCCCACACUGGUACUGAGACACGGACCAGACUCCUACGGGAGGCAGCAGUGAGGAAUAUUGGACAAUGGGCGCAAGCCUGAUCCAGCCAUGCCGCGUGCAGGAUGACGGUCCUAUGGAUUGUAAACUGCUUUUAUACGAGAAGAAACACUGGUUCGUGAACCAGCUUGACGGUAUCGUAAGAAUAAGGAUCGGCUAACUCCGUGCCAGCAGCCGCGGUAAUACGGAGGAUCCAAGCGUUAUCCGGAAUCAUUGGGUUUAAAGGGUCCGUAGGCGGUCAGAUAAGUCAGUGGUGAAAGCCCAUCGCUCAACGGUGGAACGGCCAUUGAUACUGUCUGACUUGAAUUAUUAGGAAGUAACUAGAAUAUGUAGUGUAGCGGUGAAAUGCUUAGAGAUUACAUGGAAUACCAAUUGCGAAGGCAGGUUACUACUAAUGGAUUGACGCUGAUGGACGAAAGCGUGGGUAGCGAACAGGAUUAGAUACCCUGGUAGUCCACGCCGUAAACGAUGGAUACUAGCUGUUGGGAGCAAUCUCAGUG